rnacentral:rRNA from 1 species
GUGCCAGCCGCCGCGGUAAUACGGAGGGUGCGAGCGUUGUCCGGAAUCAUUGGGUGUAAAGGGUGCGUAGGCGGGCUGCUAAGUCUGGGGUGAAAUCCUGCCGCUUAACGGUAGAAUGGCCCCCGAUACUGGCAGUCUUGAGUACAGAAGAGGUCGGUGGAAUUCGUAGUGUAGCGGUGAAAUGCAUAGAUAUUACGAAGAACACCAGUGGCGAAGGCGGCCGGCUGGUCUGUAACUGACGCUGAGGCACGAAAGCGUGGGGAGCGAACAGGAUUAGAUACCCUGGUAGUCCACGCUGUAAACGAUGUAUGCUAGGUGUCGGCCUUUCGGGGUCGGUGCUGCAGUUAACGCAGUAAGCAUACCACCUGGGGAGUACGUCGGCAACGAUGAAACUCAAAUGAAUUGACGGGG